rnacentral:lncRNA from 1 species
UACGGGGAGACUACUGUAUAAGCAUUGAGUAGAUAAAGGGGGAAAGAUACAAAUUAAGCAAGGUUAAGGAGAGAGGAUGAGCUGAAAUCAAAGGAAGUGAGAAAAUAAUUUUGUGGGCAAGAAGAAGAUGAGAGAUUUCCAGCAAGUACAGUGGGAGGUGGAGUGGAAUGGCAGACUCUAAGCAACAAAGAAACACUCUUCUGUGUUAAAGGAGGGGGCUAGGCCAGAAGGAGGCUUUAUUUGUAGUUAACACAACUACGUGUCCAGUGGACACUUAUUCAAUUAGUUUUAACACAGAAAGACAAGAAGGAGGUGGGUAGAGCAAGGACUAUUUGCAGAAAGUAGUAAAGAAGAAAGUGGGAAUUGAGGAGGAAAAAUAAGAUCAAACUAUGUGAUGCGGGGCUAGAAAGUGUUCCUUUUGGAUACAGCCCUGGAGAAGAUAAAAGAUAUGAAGGCAACUUGAACCAGAGGCCAGUGGAACCCCACUUCUCCACUAUCAGACAGCAACAUAGAUUCAGUGUUCUGAAGAUGGCGGCUAAACGCGGGCUGAGGAAGCAAGCAGCCUAGAAAUGAGUUGGUUCUGUUUGGGGAACUCCUAUAAAAGGCCAACUAUGAAUUCAAGGUGGGUGUGAGGCAAGGAACCUACAUCUCAAGGACCUUUCAGUCCACUAAGUAUUUGACACACUCUUGACUUUUCUUACUGACAACGUCAUAUCCACACAUAGAGGAGAAUAUCAAGCUGAACUCUGACUUUGGGCUUAAUUCCUACCAACAAGAAUAAUAGAGUUUUUAAAAUGAAUAUGACAGCAACUUUGGAAGAAAGUUAUCUUGGAGUUUGUAAAAGUAAAAUGUUGGCAACAUAAAUAAAAGUACCCCAGACUUUAGAAUAUCAUAUGCUUAAAAAGUCAGAUAGAAUGUGAUUACAAUCUCAUGAUAAGGGUUUCUAAAAAGUAUUCAAGAGAGAUGAGAGGUUCUCGAAAUUCUUAUAAUGUAAUAAGGAAUUAGACUAAAGAGAAGUAAAAAGAAGGAGGAAUCUAAAGAAAGCCAUGUGACUACACAGGGGUCCUCUGAUGUGCCCAAAAGAUAAAAGGAGGAGAAAAAAACCAAAGGGAAAUACAGAAGAGUGGUGCCAAUUUAGGUUUCAUUUCUACAUUUUCUAAUGCCUAAUACACAACACCGCAGGAUGGAAGAAAGGCAUAGAAAAUUCAAAAGGCACCUGCUCAGUCGUCACAACAGGACAGUGAUGUGAUUGACAGAAAGACACCAACAGACACUGUUAUGGAAGAUGUAAAGUUUCUUCAAUGGCAAAGGACAUGAAAACUUAUGGAGAUACCUAUAGAAAGCAGGAGCCAAGACAUUAGACUCCCUGCUGGUGGCUGUCUGCAACCCUGGAAGAGACUUCUCACCAGAACCUGAAUCAGCCAGAAUCUUGAGCUUGAACUUCUAGCCUCUAGAACCAUGAGAAAAUAAAUGUCUGUUGUUUAAGCCAUUCA